CAGCAGCCGCGGGAAUACGAGGGGGGCAAGCGCUGUUCGGAAUUAUUGGGCGUAAAGCGUGCGCAGGCGGUUCGUUAAGACAGAUGUGAAAUCCCCGGGCUUAACCUGGGAACUGCAUUUGUGACUGGCGAGCUAGAGUAUGGCAGAGGGGGGUAGAAUUCCACGUGUAGCAGUGAAAUGCGUAGAGAUGUGGAGGAAUACCGAUGGCGAAGGCAGCCCCCUGGGCCAAUACUGACGCUCAUGCACGAAAGCGUGGGGAGCAAACAGGAUUAGAUACCCCAGUAGUCCCUGUCUCUUAUAC
rnacentral:rRNA from 1 species